rnacentral:tRNA from 1 species
UAGAGUCUAGUGUAAUAUGGUAGCACGGAGGUUUUUGAUUUCUCAAGAGUAGGUUCGACUCCUAUAAUUCUAG